rnacentral:sRNA from 2 species
AUAUCAUACACGCUGAGUUCCAUAUGGAAGCGGGGGACCCACUUUUGGGGCGAAUUCCGAAAGGAUAGGAUAACUCUUUCAAUCCGAGCCCGACAGCUAACCUCGUAAGCGUUGAAAGAGGAGGA